rnacentral:rRNA from 1 species
GAUGAACGCUGGCGGCGUGCCUAAUACAUGCAAGUCGAGCGAACAGACGAGGAGCUUGCUCCUCUGACGUUAGCGGCGGACGGGUGAGUAACACGUGGAUAACCUACCUAUAAGACUGGGAUAACUUCGGGAAACCGGAGCUAAUACCGGAUAAUAUAUUGAACCGCAUGGUUCAAUAGUGAAAGACGGUUUUGCUGUCACUUAUAGAUGGAUCCGCGCCGCAUUAGCUAGUUGGUAAGGUAACGGCUUACCAAGGCGACGAUGCGUAGCCGACCUGAGAGGGUGAUCGGGCACACUGGAACUGAGACACGGUCCAGACUCCUACGGGAGGCAGCAGUAGGGAAUCUUCCGCAAUGGGCGAAAGCCUGACGGAGCAACGCCGCGUGAGUGAUGAAGGUCUUCGGAUCGUAAAACUCUGUUAUUAGGGAAGAACAAAUGUGUAAGUAACUAUGCACGUCUGGACGGUACCUAAUCAGAAAGCCACGGCUAACUACGUG